GAGUACAGUUCAGGGGCAGAGGAGAGGGACGGUGACAGCACAGGAAGGGCAGAGUGGACACUGUUCCAGCCUAGCUGCCGCCAGCCGCUGCUGCUGCUGGGAAAACACGUGUUCCGGUCAGAAGUGUGAGUUCCCUUGCGCGCUCCCGGCGGUCCAUCUCAGAGAAAGGAAAGCAGCCCAGUCCUGGGUGUGCACCUGCGAGGACCGACAUGUGCCUUCCAGUGUCGUCUGCCGGGCACAUGGGAACAGUAGCCACCAGCUCUGUGUGCGACACAGCAGGAAAGGGCUGCGUCCUUGCCCUUCCCGUCCCUGCCCCUCCUGUCCCCACUCCUGUGCAGGGGCCUGGACGUGGGACUGGGGCUGCAGAGGGUGCCACGAGGUGUGGAGCCUGCCUCCCAGAGACCGGAAUGGGCCCCCACCCUCCUGCUCCAGGUCUGUGGUCCUGGUGCCCCCACCAGGGGACUGGCUGUUGGGUCCUCCAACUCUGCACUUUGUGGGAAUACUAAUAUAUGGCUGGGGCUUCUUUCCAAGUAAUAUGCUUUUAAUACUUUUAAAAACAAAAUUAAAUUCCUGACUUUAAAGAACAUCUACUGGGUUUAGCAUUCCUUGUUUUCUUCCUUCAGGGUGCUGCUCAGGGGUCCUGAUGAACUGAAAGGGUGCCCACCCUCAGACAGUCGGCAGAUGGUCUAAAUUCUGCUGUGUCCACAGCCCAGGCCACGGUGGCUCUGCCUCCCACCCCCCACCCGUCUCUCCCUCCUCCCUUUUCUGGAGGUUAAGCACCUCUAAAGAGUGAGGCAUUUGCCCUGGUGAACUGAUGGCCAGACCGGGUGCCACCCUGCUAAUCCACUUGGAGGUGACGCAGCAGGUAGGACAGUUCCAGCCGCAGGCUGGGGGGGCCCUACUGCAGGCUCCAGCGGGAGGGGCCCUGCUGGGGUCUCGGCACCCUGCCCGCCCAGGAGCCCACCUGUCCCACCCUCCUCCCCACACCUGCGCUUGCCCUGGGCAUCCCUCUGCCAGGAGGCAGUGGCCGGUCAGGAUAUGUUUAGGAGAGCCUGGGGCCCCAACCAGACAUCCACUUGUGGCCCAAGAGGGAGGAGGGGAACGGAGGGUUCGAGAAAGGCAAACGCAGGUAGGGAAAGGGGGCAUCAGGCAGAGAAGGAAGCCCACGUGCUGUGUCGGCAGGCCUUAGAAAUGAUGAGCAUUUUAGCAUUUGUAGUGAUGUGUAAGCAUUUUAUGAAACACUGUAACUGGGAAGUUUUAAAGAAAUUGUCUGAAUUCUUACAGCAAGCUUCCAGAAACAGGUCAGCCUCUAUCCAUCCUGUUUCCCUCUGGCCCUGGACGUCACCCUCUGCCCCCUGGCCACCUCCCACCUCCAGUGAAACCCAUGGGCCACAGCCUGAGCGGCUGUCGGCCACUAGAAGAGGUCAUGCUGGAUGAUAGCGGUGGCUGCGGACAUGGUUGAGACCUGCUGGCCAGCAUGCGGCUAGGUGGCAUCGAAGAUUUCCUUUGCCACGGACCUCAUGGAUAAGGGCAUGUCACUGAAGCGUACCGGAGAAACGGGGCAGAGCAGGAAGUCAGUGAAAGCGCAUAGCGAGCUAAGGUGGCGCCGGCUGUCCGCGUCCUCCCCUCCUCACCCCAGGCCUCUAGCAGCGCCUGGCGGCAUGGCUGGGCAGUGACUUGGAUGCCAGGAGAAACCUACGCAGAGCACACGCUGCACCCUCACGUGGGCCUCCUUUCAGGACCAGCCAGGGCAGCGUUCAGACGCCCUUUUAAGUUCAGUACAGUCAGAAACAAGAUCCAGGCCACAGAGCACAGCCGCAGGUGAAGACUUCCAAGACUGGCUGGGUCACUGUAGGGCAGGUGCAGGGCCUGAAGGCAAGUCUGACGGCUUUAUCUUAAGAGAUGAUCUUAAUGAUAGUGUUUUCUGAAAUUUGGCAUCUGAGGACCUGAGUGUCCUGUAGUGCCAGUCCACCUCAAAUGAGCAUCUCUUUUUGUGCUGUCCAUGCAGGGCCACUAGCCUCAAAGCAAAGGCCUGUGUUCCUCAGAGAGCAGUGUCGGCUCUGCUUGCAGGGAAGGCCCCGCGCUCUGAGGCGCGAGCCUGUCCUGCCCCAGGAGAGCCCACCCCUCAUGGAGCUCGCGGGGCACAGAGUGGGCAUGUCUGCACCGUGACCCGAGUGUGCAGACCCUGGAGCAGCACCAGGGCCAAAGCCCUGGUCCCAUCCUUAGGUGGUACGGAGCCCCCGCGAGGGGCGAGGCAGCCAGCUGUCUGUAGCCCGAGGUGGGCACAUACCUGGACGUGAUGACAUGUGCCCCCACUCAACCCCUGGGAAGUAGAGGUGGUGAAGUGACGUGUGUGGACUUCCUGAGCUUGUCCUUCUCUCCCCCACCCCACCGGAAUGCAAACACAAUGGCAGGAGCUGGGGCAGCCAUCUCAGACUCUGAGGUGAAGGCUGUGGGUUGAGGAGCAGAGCAAGGGUCGCCAGCACUGAGAGCUGCCCUCUCAGAUAAAGUGCUCCACCUGGUGGCCACCAAGGCCACAUCGCAGUGCACAGCGCCGGUCCUCAGCAUGUCCCUGCACCCCGGGAAGCAAUGCCAACAGCAGGCAAGGGGGCUGGUCCCACAGAACCAUGAGACUAAAAACAGAUAGCGAGUUGAAAGCCUACAAGGCCAGGUUAGUUCCCCAGCCCUGCUCAGCUUGCUGACCACCUGCCCACCCAGCAGGGGACAGGGGGUGUGGUCCCCAGGGAAGCCGAGCAAGAAGGCACCACUCUGGGCGAGAGGCCAUGUAGCACCUCCCUGAGCCCCGAGUGGUGAGGGUCCGGCCCGGCCCCCCGCGCUGGGCCUGGUGGAGCUAGGGGUCCCUCUCUGAAGGAGUGGACCCACCGAGACAUGUGGCCCCAGCGUCCUGACACUGGGGCACCUCCAGUGCUGCCGCUGCCCCCACAGCAUUCGCUUGUUCCAGCCCUCACUCCGCAGAGUGGAGGGGAGCCAAAGGUCAGGGCGGGAGGGCGACACGCCAGCCAGGGAAGCGCACGCUCGAACAAAUGGAGAUAUUGUCAGAAACAAAGUUGGCACCAACACGGAGUCCGGGGGCAGCGGUAGAAAGUACUCGACCAUGGAGCAAGUCGUCACAGAAGCGACACCCAGAUAACCAAGAGCUCUUGGAGAAACAGAGUGAAAAGGAAACGAGGGAUGGGAAACAGACACGACACACCAGAGGACUGGCCUAGGGCUCACUGCCUGGCCGACAAGCACCGCAGACAGACAUGGGGCACAGAGGCCCUCGGGGGGGCCGUUCCCGAUCUCAGGCCCGCCCUGGCCCAGCACCACCCCAGUUCAGCUGGAAACAUGGGAUUUGGAGCAGAAGGCACGCACCUCACUCUAGGCUGGGCAGUUUCCUCCCCGCCGCUAGGGACCCCGGUCCUGUUCCUGUGUCGGGGGGAUCAUGGCCAGGAAUGGUGCCGCAGGCCAGUGGCCCAUCCCUGACUGGCGUGGACUCACACAGCUGGGGCCCUGGGUCUCCAAGAGGAGCUGCUGUCCUCAUGAGAAGGAAAGGCCUGGCUCUGUCGCAGGGCUGCGCAGCCAGGAAGCUACAGGCAGAUGUGAUGAAACUGAAGUCGGGACUGACCUUGAACGGAAAUCACCCUCUUGUAACUCUCACUGGAAGCUGCUCACUUGGCCCACCUGCCUCACAGCCUCAGAAUAUAUUUUUUAACAUGAAACAUUAAGAGUCUGAAGAAGCCGACAAAUACCAGUGACUGAGUGUCCUCGUACGGACGGAAACCUCGCCACACCCGAGCACCGGCUCGGCAGGUGUGUCCUCUCUCAGGGGUCAGCCCCGGGUGGCAGGGGGUGCCAGGACUCCCACUGUUCUCAGGACCCACUCCACGGAGCGCCUUGGAGAGCCCGCCGCUCGGGAUCGGUGUUGUCCUCGUGAAGGCUGAAAAGGCUUAAGUGGCACUAAAAGAAAAUACCGUAAACAUUGUUUCCACCUCUGCCUACUUUCUCCCUGCUGUUGAUGAGUGUUUGGGCAUCAGCACCUGCCUCCCCAUCCCAGCCCCCAGCCCUGGUCUCAGGUGUAAUCGUGGCUGUCACUGACUGAUGUGUUUCAGCAUAGGAGAGGCCAGGUCACCGACCCUGCCAGGUCAGAAGUCCGUCCCUCCGUCUUUGCCAGGAGGAGGGAGGAAGGGGUACUUGCCAUGAGGGCUUCAGGUACACACACCAUCCUGCUGCCUGGAGGGCUGUUCCUCAGCUCUCACCUGUCCUGGUGGCCGACCCCCAUCCUGCACUUGGGGCGGUGAAUGCAGCCCUAGCAGGGUGCCCGCCUCCCAUCACAGGAUAGCCCUUUAUGUGUCAUCCCUCACCCAGGCCACUCAGGUUCUAUCCGACUGAACCUCUUGUACAGAAAAGGUUGUCUGAAUGCCUGAUUGUCGUUAAAUAAGGGCUUAAUCUCAAAAACAUCUUCAAUUUGAUUUCUUUAGUAAAUGUAGUAUUAUUCAGAUUUUCUAUUUCCUUUUGUGUCAACCUUGGUACAUAUGUUUUUCAGUGAACUUUCCUACAAAUUGUCAAAUUGAUAAGCAUAUAGUUUCUUAUAAUUCCUCUUAUUUUUUUCAGUUAUUUAGAGCCUAUGAUAAUGUCUCCUUUUUCAUUAUUGAUAUUGGUGUUUUCCGUAACCAGCCUUCACUAGGGAUUUAUCAGUUUUGUUAGUAUUUUCAAAACCUAGUUUUUCUCUUUGUAAGUUUCUCCACUGUGUGUAUGUUUCCUCCGCCGCUGGUUUCUGCUCUUCACACUCACUGCCUUCUGCUUUCUUGGGGUUUGACGGGUGCUUCGAGGUAAAUCUAUCACUUUUAAAUGCAUGUGUUAGAGGAGAAAUGUGUAAAAUCAGUAAGUUUCCAACUGAAGAGGCUAGAAAAUAUAUUAGUUACUGCUGCAAAACAGAUUCCCCUAAACACAGCAGCUGGGGGAGUAAACACUUGUCAUCUCUUACAGUUUCUGAGAGUCAAGAAUUGGGGGUGGCUCAGCUGGGGUUUCUGGUUCCCUCAGUUGGGGCUGCACACUCCUAGGGCUCAACUGGGCUGGGGAGCCUGCUUCCGGGUCGGAACGAAUUCUCUUCAGUCCAGUCCUUUGAAAUCUGUGAAGACUCGCUUUAUGGCCUACCACACAACUGAAGGCUCGUAAGUAUUCCACAUGCACUCGAGAAGAAUAUUUAAAUAUUUAUUUCGUAGGUGGUGGAUAUAGUGUUUUCUGCAUGUUGAGUCAAGUUGAUUAAUCACGUUGCUCAAAUGUCCUGUGUCCUUUCUAAUGUGUUUAUCUUGUCUGUCAGCUGUUGGGAGAGGCGGGUUAGCAUCCGUAGCUGUGGUUGUGGACUUGUGUAUUCCUCCUUUUAGCUGUGUCAGUUUUCGUGUAGAUGUUCUGGAACCAUGUUAUUAGAUGCCCACACAUUAAAGACGGUCUUCCUGUCGAAUUAACCUUUUUAUCCUUAUGAAAUAUUUCUCAUUUUAUACUUCUUGCCUUACAGUCUACUUUUUCUGAUACUAAUACAGGCAUUCCACGAGUUUUGGUUAGUAUUUAGAAGAUACAUCUUCCAUGCUUUACUGUCUUUUUUAUUUUUACUUUUUUAAAUUUAAAGUGCAUCUUUUUUACUUUUUACUUUUUAUUUAAAGUACAUUGUAUGUGAACAGCAUAUAGUUGGGUCUUGUUUUCUUCAUACAGCCUGCCAAUCUUUGUCUUUUAAUUAGCGUGUGUUGCCCACUGACAUUUAAGGUAAUCGUGCAUACGGGUGAUUUUACAUCUGCUAUCUUGCUACUAAUUUUAUGUGUCUCAUACGUUUUUGUCCCUUUCUUUUCUGAUAAAUUAAUCAAAUGGUUUUUUUAUUAUUCUUUUUUUCUCCCUCCCUUUAGAGUGGUAGCUUCCUGUACCGCUCUCUCGGGUGCCACCCCAGAGGUUGUAAUACACCCACUUGGUUGGAUGCCUUUGCCUGCCAGACAUCCAGGCACCUCCCCGUGGGCAGUGCCGCCUGCCCCACUCCUGCCCCUGUGCUGCUGCGGGCUGUGGCUUCCUUCCGCGCCCUGGUGAACCCGCGAGGCCGGUGCUGGUGCUGUUUGUAUGCUCUUUACAUCCCUGCUGGGCUCGCCUUCCCUGCCACGGUUUCAUGCAUGUCAGAGGUGAUUUCCCUCCAUCUAGAGUAGAAGAACUUUCUAGUAUUUCUUUGUGCUAUGGUUAUGGCUCAGCAGGCAAUAAAUUCACUUAACUUUUGUUUGUCAGAAAAUAAAUUCAGUUUGCCUAAUUUCUGCUUGGGCAAAUUAUAGAUUGGCAGUGUUUAUCACCAUGACACAUUAAAGAUGCUGGUCCACUUCUGACUGGUCCACUUCCAUAUAUUUUUAUGUGGGUAAAAUUCAACUUUCAUCCUUACUGUUGCACCGUUGGAAGUUUCUCUGGCCCCCUUAAAGACCCCUCUCUGUCUUUGAGUUUCAGCAGUUUGUGCCUAGAUGUGGUCUGACUUAUCCCUCUGCAGUAUACAGAACUCCUCAAAUCUGUGAAUUAGUAUCUUUCAUCAGUUUUAGAAAAUUCUAAGCCAUUACUUUUUGGGUAUUUUUUCCCCCUAUUCUCUAUCUUCUCCCUUCUGGGACUCUGGCUUAUGCAUCUUGAGCCACUUGACUAUGUCCCACAUGCCUCAUCUCUCUUGUUUUCCACUCUUUAUUCCUUCUGUGGUUUUGUACUUGCUGAUCCUGUCUUCUGAUGCGUUCAUCAGAAAGAUCAGUGAGGUCUUUUUAAGAUUAAAAAAAAUCAAACUAUAUUAUAUGAGAAAAAAUAAAUAUGGGGGCUUAGAUAAUGGUACUUAAAGCUUAGAAGCAGCGUGCUGGGCACCACGCACACCUCCCUCCCCUCAGCCGCACGGCCCUGCUGCUGCACCUGCCUGGGGUGUUUUAUUGCUCGCAGCUCCAUGUGUCUCUUUAUAGUUACCAUGCAUCUUUCAGCUGAAAUUCCAUAUCGUUUAUGUAUGCUGUCCACCUUUUCCAUUAGGUCCUUUAACGUAGUAAUCAUGAUUUUUUAAAAUAACGUUUUUAUGUUCAAUCAGUUUUUAAUUGCAGAGAGUAUUCAGUUCUAGAAUGUCUGUUUGGUAUUUUUAUACGGAUGCCAGUUCCAUGUUGAAAUUCCCUAUAUCAUCCAUUUCACCUCUUCUCAUUUUCUAGCACAUACUACAUUUGUCUCAUAACUUUUGUUGUGUGCCAAACAUUGCUAUAAAAACAUUUUUUUAAC